CACGUAGGGUGCGAGCGUUGUCCGGAAUUAUUGGGCGUAAAGAGCUCGUAGGCGGUGUGUCGCGUCGGCCGUGAAAACCUGCAGCUUAACUGUGGGCUUGCGGUCGAUACGGGCAUCACUGGAGUUCGGCAGGGGAGACUGGAAUUCCUGGUGUAGCGGUGAAAUGCGCAGAUAUCAGGAGGAACACCGGUGGCGAAGGCGGGUCUCUGGGCCGAUACUGACGCUGAGGAGCGAAAGCAUGGGUAGCGAAUGGG
rnacentral:rRNA from 1 species